rnacentral:rRNA from 1 species
UACGAAGGGGGCUAGCGUUGCUCGGAAUCACUGGGCGUAAAGGGUGCGUAGGCGGGUUUUAAGUCAGGGGUGAAAUCCUGGAGCUCAACUCCAGAACUGCCUUUGAUACUGAAGAUCUUGAGUCCGGGAGAGGUGAGUGGAACUGCGAGUGUAGAGGUGAAAUUCGUAGAUAUUCGCAAGAACACCAGUGGCGAAGGCGGCUCACUGGCCCGGUACUGACGCUGAGGCACGAAAGCGUGGGGAGCGAACCGG